ensembl:lncRNA FTX FTX transcript, XIST regulator
GUCCUUUUCUGGCAUCAGCGUUGCGGCUCGAGGCAAAGCUGGUCCUGUGCCUGCUGUCCAUUGCCGCUAAGGCCUGCUGCUGCCAUUCAGGCGUGUCUCUCUCUCUCUCUCUCUUUCAUGCCGCUCUCUCCACCCCAUCUUGGGACGGCCAGCUCUAAGAAUUCCUGCUACGACACUGAAUUCAACCAGGAGUCAGCAUGAAUACCAGCACAGCCCAACUAUGUGUAAGCAGAUCUGUGCAGGAAUGAGAGUCCCAGGGAGAGAAUCCACGUUGUUUCUGAAAGAAAAUGGCUAUAGCUCACUGUUGUUUACUGGAAAUAGUAGGGGGAAGGAAAGAUGGAAGUCCAGGUCCAGUGUCAUAUACUGCCCUGCACCUUACUCACUUCUCUGCCUUUAGGGUGAUGCCACACUCAAUCAGAAACUAUGCUACUGCUGAAGAGGUAUAUUGAGCCCUGCCUGGUUAACCUCCAGUGAGGUUAUUAGAGAAUUGGGAGAGGCUCAAAUCAGCAUCCUGCACCUAGUUAUCAAACCAUUGUGAAGUCUUGAUUCCUGGAUGGCCAGAAAACUUGUCAUUGGUCAAGAGCAACAUUAAGAUCUGCCUGUUACUCAUACUGAUGCUUCCUGCCCAGCAAGUUCAUCAGAGGGCGAGGAUGAAUUACGGUUGCCAUGAAUGUCCUUGUGAGGCAGUUGGGAAGCCUUGGCUGGAUUGUGAAGGAUAUUUGAAAAGUAUUUUAGAGUCCACCAGAUCAUCCAUGUGAGUGACCAUGCAGCAAAAGAAGGAGGGUCCUCUCAGUGAUUAAGGAUUAUGAAGUAUUAAUUCUUCCACUGAUAUCUCAAAAGGUGAUCUGGACAAAGGAACAGGUAUCUCAGGUUACUUCCAAGACUGAGCAGCCAGGUUUUUGGUAGAUGAGAACAAAUGUUUCUUCCUGAAGCCCUGGGGCUUCAGGUAGGAAGAAGGACUGCUAUACUUGUUCUCACCCUUGGCUUCUGGCUGCUCCAGUUAAACAUGGUUCCCAUUGAUACAGACAUUAGAGUGGGAAAGGACUUCGUUCAUAGACCGAAGACCCUCAAAGGAAAGUCCUUCCAUUUUGGGAAGGGUGACAUUGAUUUCGUUUAGCUGCUUAAGAUAUGUACUUGCUGUUGUCUUGUGAGACAUGACAUCUGAAGCUGAAGAGGAGUCCCUCUCAUUGUUGUCAUUGUCCCACCGGGACUGAAAGUCUCCCAGUUGAGGCAGCAUUUUAGCUUUGAUGUCUACAGGGCAAUCAUGGAUCAGGAAAUUUCUGCAAAUUAGACUUGGAAAACAAGGUCUUGAUCCUUCUUGUCUUUGGACGAAGACUAAUCAUCACUUUUGACUGAAGGUGUAGUGCUGGAGACUAUGUUGGAGGCAGCACCUGAUGCACUAUCCAUAUUCUUCCCCUUGAUCUUGUCUUAAAGUUUUCCAAAUGGAUUCCGAGGCUUGUCUUUGAUGAAAAGGUCAAACAUACUGGCAGUCAUGUUGUUUCUCAUAAGCUGGAUGUCAACCUCAAUUUCUCCUCUUUAUCCUUCUCUCCUGGUUUGGAUUUCAAGGUAUACCACCGCAUCUUCCUGCUCCCCUAGUCUGGGUGCAGGUCCUGCAGGUACACCUCGGCGAAGCCCAAGUACAGUAGCAGCAGCACCUCAAAGGUGGCCUCCUCCUCUGACACUGAGGUGGCAUACUUCUCCUUACCCACCUGAAUCACCGAGUACAUGUUGCUUGUACCGUCAGGCUCUUGGUUCUUGGCCCCUGGCCCUAUGCCUGCAACACUGUCACCUGCACGUGGAUUGGGAACCACAUAGCCCCCGGACCUGCUAAGGCCAUUAAGGACAGGAUGGUGAUGCCUCGGCUGACUGACGUGAGAAGAUUGUCAUGACCCAUGGCCUCUACUGCUGUCCUACCAACAGAAACUUCAUAAUGUUGUGCAGGCGUUACCACUACCUAGUUCCAGAACAUUGCCAUCACCCCCAAAAUAAAUCUUGCA